rnacentral:rRNA from 1 species
CAGCAGUGGGGAAUAUUGGACAAUGGGCGAAAGCCUGAUCCAGCCAUGCCGCGUGUGUGAAGAAGGUCUUCGGAUUGUAAAGCACUUUAAGUUGGGAGGAAGGGCAUUAACCUAAUACGUUAGUGUUUUGACGUUACCGACAGAAUAAGCACCGGCUAACUUCGUGCCAGCAGCCGCGGUAAUACGAAGGGUGCAAGCGUUAAUCGGAAUUACUGGGCGUAAAGCGCGCGUAGGUGGUUUGUUAAGUUGGAUGUGAAAGCCCCGGGCUCAACCUGGGAACUGCAUCCAAAACUGGCAAGCUAGAGUAUGGCAGAGGGUGGUGGAAUUUCCUGUGUAGCGGUGAAAUGCGUAGAUAUAGGAAGGAACACCAGUGGCGAAGGCGACCACCUGGGCUAAUACUGACACUGAGGUGCGAAAGCGUGGGGAGCAAACAGGAUUAGA